GAUGAAGAACGUAGCGAAAUGCGAUAAGUAAUGUGAAUUGCAGAAUCCCGUGAACCAUCGAGUCUUUGAACGCAAGUUGCGCCCGAAGCCAUUAGGCCGAGGGCACGCCUGCCUGGGUGUCACACACCGUUACCCUCGCGCCAACGUCCAUCGUUGGCCGCGGCGCGGGGCGUGCGCUGACCUCCCGCGAGCGGGGUCUCGUGGUUGGUUGAAAAUCGAGUUCGCGGUCGAGGGUGCCGUGAUGAAAUGGUGGAUGGGCGCCGCCCGAGGCCAAUCACGCGCGACUCUGUCCGGCUCGGACUCCUGGACCCCUUCGGCGUCUCCGGACGCUCUUUGGCGAGACCUCAGGUCAGGCGGGGCUACCCGCUGAGUUUAAGCAUAUCAAUAAGCGGAGGA
rnacentral:misc_RNA from 1 species